rnacentral:rRNA from 1 species
UACGUAGGGGUCUAGCGUUGUCCGGAUUUAUUGGGCGUAAAGAGCGUGUAGGCGGCCAGGUAGGUCUGCUAUGAAAACUCGAGGCUUAACCUCGAGAUGUCGGCGGAAACCAUCUGGCUAGAGUCCGGAAGAGGAGAGUGGAAUUCCUGGUGUAGCGGUGAAAUGCGUAGAUAUCUGGAGGAACACCGGUGGCGAAGGCGGCAUCCUGGACCGGCAUUGACGCUGAGGCGCGAAAGCUAGGGGAGCAAACGGG